AGGAAAGGUAAAUUUUAAGUGGUUCGGAGAAUGAAUAACUCCUACUUCACUCUUCUACUACUCGAGUAGGAAAUCCACUAAAGGUUUAGUCACACAGACAAUGACACUUUGCCCUCUUCAAGCCCAGCAGACUUGGAUAUUUAGUCACAAUGACUAGGACACUUUUGCCCUCUUCAAACCUCGCAGACUAGAAUAUUUGGUCACAAAGACAAGGACUCUUAGCUCUUAGAUGUCCUGAUGAUUGAUGUUUGUUGUGAGGUGCUGCUAAGUUUGCGUUAAGCUUUUCUUCUCACGUACUUAGCAGCUCGAACUUUUUGUAUAUUGGAUCGUUGAAUUCAUUCUUUUACGUUAGCAAAGUUUUUGGCUUUUUGAUCAAUGUUUGUUACUUUCAAAGUUAAAUCCUUGUAGCCCUUUAUACUCUGCUGAGAAGUCUUCCCGUUGCAAAAUACCCGUUGGUGCAUUUAAUGCAUACUAGGAUCCUUGAUGUUGACAUUUUAAACCCAGGAGAUAGUUCCUUUUUCCUUGCCUGUCACAUCAGUAUGCUUUCUCACCUAACACCCUUGAUGUGUCACUGUCACCAACUAGCUGGUAGGCUCGAUUUUCACCAAGGAUAUUUUGAGAGUGCAUUAGGACCUUCAACUUACAACGCUUCAAUGUCAGUCAGUUUGUCAGACUUAACUGCUCUACGAUCGAGUCUUUAUCAGCGAUCGUUUAUCUAGCUGGAAGGAUCAGUUGUUCACUUAACGAUCUGAAGUGACUGAGAGUUUUAAUUACUCCAAGAGUAGUUCAACGAUCAAGAAUGUAUUUUACCUUGUGCUUCCUUUGUGAUCUUGUACUUCAAGUAGCAGGGUAACCUUACGAUCUUACAACAUCCUAUCAACUGUACAUCAUAUUAGCUUUUUUUAAGAUCAACCUAACAUUAUUUGAUUUUUUUAUUCUAAGUCCUUAUACAAUUGAUCAAUUCUUUAUAAGGACUGUAUAAAUCGUACUGGUACAAAUAUACAUUAAGCUCAUUCAUCAUCAAAUUAAAAUAUGCAAACUUUAACAAAAGUCACCUAGGGAUUUACGUCUAAUACGACCAACAAUAACAACCGCCUCAAUUGACAACCAACUAUCCCCAAAUAAAACCUUAAGCUAAGUCACUACCAGUACUUUAACAGGGUUACUAACAAAAUGAGCUAAUAGAGAUAAUAUGAAAGCAUAAAUAAUAAGUUAACUUCAAAAUCUCUAUCUUGGCUUUGAUACCAAAUACACCAGAAAUCAUAGAGAUUAAAACACUAUUUGCAAUUGCAAUUAAUCAUAGAUAUAAAAACAGCGGAAUAUUAUUAAUUUUAAAGCAAACUUACAUAGAUAGGAAGACUGACAAUUUCCAAACUGAAUCACACUGUCAAACUGAUGAACACUCUUUUAUACAAAUUUUUCUUUCACUCU
rnacentral:lncRNA from 1 species